CGACGAUUCCUACGGGAGGCAGCAGUGGGGAAUCUUGGACAAUGGGGGCAACCCUGAUCCAGCCAUGCCGCGUGAGUGAUGAAGGCCUUAGGGUCGUAAAGCUCUUUCGCCUGUGAUGAUAAUGACAGUAGCAGGUAAAGAAACCCCGGCUAACUCCGUGCCAGCAGCCGCGGUAAUACGGAGGGGGUUAGCGUUGUUCGGAAUUAUUGGGCGUAAAGCGCGCGUAGGCGGUUUUUUAAGUCUGAUGUGAAAGCCCACGGCUCAACCGUGGAGGGUCAUUGGAAACUGGAAAACUUGAGUGCAGAAGAGGAAAGUGGAAUUCCAUGUGUAGCGGUGAAAUGCGCAGAGAUAUGGAGGAACACCAGUGGCGAAGGCGACUUUCUGGUCUGUAACUGACGCUGAUGUGCGAAAGCGUGGGGAUCAAACAGGAUUAGAUAUCCUGGUAGUCCACGCCGUAAACGAUGAGUGCUAAGUGUUAGGGGGUUUCCGCCCCUUAGUGCUGCAGCUAACGCAUUAAGCACUCCGCCUGGGGAGUACGACCGCAAGGUUGAAACUCAAAGGAAUUGACGGAAUCUC
rnacentral:rRNA from 1 species